UUUCCUUUUCUCACCUCACCGUUUCGGGCCUAAUUCUCAUCUACCUCCAAUCUGCAACUCCAAUUCCUUAAAUCCACCGUCUCCGUCGAACAUCCUGAUCAUCGAUCAAGGCUGUUUUGUUGCAAUUGUAGCCGAAGCCGGCGAAUCAGAAGAAGCCCUUGAUCUCAGACCAAUUUAGACCCGAUCCUUCAAUGUCCAGUACUAGGCGGAGAGGAAUACCAGUUUGAAGAAUUUGUGCAGGUGGAUUCCCAACUUUGCUCCCCAGAAGCAGGAGGUCCAAAACAUCACAGCGCACUCCCACUGGUACUGCAUUGCUCAGACUUGUUUGGUUUGCAAUAGCGAUCCUAAGCUUGAUGUCAACUAUUCUGUAAGUAAGCUUUAAAUUUGUCAAUGACAAAUGAUUACUGAGAAAAGUGUUAAUAAAGAAAGACAAAUAUAUAUAAUCACACUUGUCCACCUACACUUGCGCACAUAAUCAAGCAGAAUGUGUAAGUAGAUCACAUUAUAUGCUGGAAGAAUUAACAUGACCUAAAAAUCUGGACUUUAAGUGGGUUAUUUUAUUCUAUUUGAUGUGCUACUGCUGGUCUUUGCAUAUUCUUCUCUCUCUUAUUUGCUUAUGCGCAAUGGCCCUCGAUUUCUGCACGCACCACAAACAUCCUCUUCUUGUGCUCGAUUCAAUACCGACCGUGGAAAACUGAAGUUAUCUUGAAGAAAGCAGUCAUUGCACUUGGCAAGAGUGUAGCUGGAAGUAUCAAAGAAUAAGUUCAGAGUAUGGCAUAGGAAUGGAGGUGUCAACAAGUGGUGACAUCUAUAGCUAUGAAAUCCUGCUAUUUGAGAUGCUGAUAGGCAAGAGAUUGAUAUAUGACGUGUUUAAAGACGGCCUGAACUUGCAUAAAUUUGUCAAAUAAGGCUUUGGCCUCCUUAUCCUAUUGGAUGGUGAUCAGAGCUGAGUCUUCUAGCCAUCCCAGCCAGCUUUUGAGCAAGCAGCACUUGGAGCCUAUUAUUGAAGAGGAGCUUUUGAACGAGCACAUGGACACUAUUGAAGAGGACAUGUAGAACAAGAAACUUUCAACUAUGUCAUUUUUUUUUUGUUUACUGAUAAUCUGAUAUUAGUGUGCUUUGUUUAGUGUACGACUGGCUUUGAUUAACCAACAAGAUGCUACCAGUCUACUUUGUUCUUGGGAUUUUAUGAUCUGUACCUAAAAUUAUGCCUGACCGAGAUGGCUAGAAGACUCGGCUCUGAUCAAGAUGCUACCAGCAGACUUUGUUUGUGGGAUUUUAUGAUUUUUACCAAUUUUGAAUGCUAUGGAAACUUUCUAAGUA